AUUUAAAUUAAAAUAGUUAAAUAAAUUAAGUAAUACACAAUUCGAAAAAAAAACACAAUACUCACUAACGAUCGUAAUUUAAAAGGAUUGCUCCUGUGCAAAGUAUCCUUGAUGAGGUAAUAUAGCCAUUAGAAAAUAGUGGUGUAUGAAG